ensembl:processed_transcript
AGGAAAGAUGUAAUCCUCAAUGUCCACCACCAUUUGAACACUUGGCCGAAGCAAGAGACUGGACCACUGAAGUUAGAUGGUUAAUCUUUAUGUCCAGCUCAUUAAGCUUCUCCAAUAUUGCCCUCUGCACAGCUCAACACACUCAAUGUGUGGUCCCCAAAGCAUCCUCUUGCUCAUUUCCAUCAGACAUGCUCACUGGAAAAGCUGGUGUUGAGAAAGGUCAAGUUGGUUGAGGUUUAUCCCAAGUGUCCUGUGGCUCCACUUCCUGGCAGAACCUCACAG